UACUUGCCAGCCAGGGCGGAAGAAGCAUUGUCUGCCCUGCUCAAUUGCCACGCACGUUGAGUGUCCAUCCUGCUACCGUGCCUCUGUGCCUCCACCGCCGCUCUAACCUUCUCCCCCACUGAUUUCCCACCCACAGGCGCCACCGUCCAGGUGUUGCUGUUCGCCAUCCUGGCCGUGGAGAUCAAGCGCAAGGCCCCCACCAUCCACACCUUCCUCGAGAUCAUCCGCUGCCGCUGGGGCACGACUGCUCACGUGAUCUUCGUCUUCUACGGCUUCCUGACCAACAUCAUCGUGACUGCCAUGCUCAUUCUGGGCGGUGCCGCCGUGAUGGAGGCCUUGACCGGCGUGUCCGUGUACGCCUCCUCUUUCCUGAUCCCCGCCGGUGUGGUGAUCUACACCGCUGUGGGCGGCCUGAAGGGCACCGUGGUGGCCGAGUGGCUGAACGUGUGUGUCAUCUACAUCGCCCUGCUUAUCUUCAUGUUCCAGGUCUACGCCACCAACAAGGACCUGGGCUCUAUUAAGGUUGUGUACGAGCGCCUGACCGCUGUCGCCGAGAAGCACCCCGUCGCCGACAACAUGGGCGGCUCCUACAUGACCAUGUUCUCCAAGUCUGGCAUCAUCUUCGGCAUCAUCAACAUCAUCGGCAACUUCGGCACCGUGUUCGUGGACCAGUCCUACUGGCAGGGCGCCAUUGCCGCCAAGCCCUCCGCCACCUACAAGGGCUACCUGCUGGGUGGCAUGUGCUGGUUCGCCAUUCCCUUCACCUUUGCCACCACCAUGGGUCUGGGCGCCCGCGCUCUGGACCUGCCCCUCACCAAGGCUGAGGCCAACAAGGGUCUGGUUCCCCCCGCUCUGGCUGUUGCCCUGAUGGGCCAGGGUGGCGCUUUCCUCGUCACCUUCCAGUGAGUCAGUGUCGGUGACUGCUUGAGUAGUAAUGCGGUAGUAGUAUUCAGGCCUACCUGUAUGCUGCUUUGAUACAACCUGCCAUCGUACAGUUGCCUGCUGGUGAACUCGUGAAGGAACUGCACUAGGGCUUGGCGUCACGUGUCAUGGCCAUGGCAUUAACCCGCCCUACCUUGCGUCCCCGCCUCCCUCCCCAACCUUCAGGCUCUUCAUGGCCGUGACCGCCACCGCCUGCGCCGAGCAGAUGGCCGUGGCCACCAUUGUCGCCUACGACAUCUACAAGCCCUACAUCAACAAGAACGCCAACGGCAAGCAGAUGAUCAUCCUGCAGCGCGUCAUGGUUGUUGUGUACGCCAUCAUCUCCGGUGUCAUCUCCGUCAUCCUGCUGAAGCUCCAGGUGUCUCUGGGCUGGGUCUACCUCUUCAUGGGCAUCGUGAUCGGCUCAGCCGUGUUCCCCAUCGCCGCCUCCCUCACCUGGGCCAAGUGCUCCGCCACCGCCGCCAUCGUGUCCGCCGUCGUGACCACCCCCCUCGCGAUCAUGACCUGGCUCAUCACCGCCGCCAAGCUGAACGACGGCGUGAUCAACCUGGACACCACCGGCCAGGACUACCCCAUGCUCGCCGGCAACCUGGUCGCCCUCUUCUUCUCAAUGAUUCUGUGCAUCAUUCUCUCCUACAUCUUCCCCCAGGUGAGCAGCCCUUGCUCCCUUGCGAUGCGCGCCACAGAAAGCGCACGGUCUUACAGCAGCCUUCCUUGUCCUGGCUUUCGCUCGCGCAUGCGUGCUCUGCUGCUGACCGCCGUCGAUGCGGACCGCCCCUCCCUUGCCUCACGUGCGCCUGACUCCUCCCCCGCCCCGCCUCUCUCGCGCCCUCCUUCCGCCCCUCAGGACUUCGACUGGGCUGAGCUGCGCAACAUCCCCGUGAUUGAGUGCGACCCCAACUCCGACCCCAACAACUUCGAGGGCGAGGACUCCCCCGAGGCGCUCAACCACGUGAUCAAGUUCACUUGGGCCACCGGCGGCACCCUCACCCUGGUGCUGCUCAUCCUCUGGCCCAUCCUGGCCCUGCCCGCCAAGGUCUUCUCCGAGGGCUACUUCACCUUCUGGAUCAUCAUUGCCAUGAUCUGGGGCAUUGUUGCGUCCUGCGUCUGCAUCGUCCUGCCCAUCUGGGAGGCCUCCGACGUCAUUGUCAACUUCUUCACCUGGAAGAAGGCCCCCGUCGCUGGCGGCGUCGCCACCACAGCCGAGGAGUCGGCGCACAAGGGCGACCACAUGGAGCUGCCCCCAGCCCCCGCCAACCGUGCGUAAGCUGCUGCAGCUGCUACUGCCGGGACACCCGCCGUCGCCUUGCCAGGCAGCUGCGAAGGCGGCUUGAAUGGGUGCGGUGCGGCGCGUUGUGUGUGAUGCGCUGGCGUGCGUACGCGUGCGCGUCCUAGCCUAGCUUGUGUCUCGGGUGCGUGUGCGUCGUUAGAAUUAGGAUAGACACAGUAUAGAGUGGGAUGACAUCAGCACUGCGAGUAGAUAGGUAUAGGUUGCACUGUCGACUGCAAAGCGUGGGCCUUGCUCGAUCGCAUCUAGGUUGGCUGUGGUGCAAGGGGGGACGUGGACUGGCGGCGUGGUAAUUCGCAUGCCUAGACAGGUUAUUAUAUCGGACGAAUUGCAGACACGUGACGCAUGACUUAUUUGCUAUGCAGUGGUUGAGCGGGAACUGAUUGGUUGGUGGGGUGAUCUUACCUGCGCGCAGUCUGUUGUGCUCGCCGCGAGCCCAUAAGAUGCCUCUCAAGGGUGCACGAGAUAAAAUUGGAAGGGCCUCCCAGUGCGACUCACUGGAUGCUGAGUUCGGGAGUGCGGAUACAUUGCUCUGUAUCAUUAACAAAAGCUUAGUAUUCGAUGAGGGGUGGCAGUGACGCGACGAUUUGCCCGCGCAUUCGGUUGAGUGAAGCGUCGAGAGUGCUGCUUGGGGCUGACAGCCGCAAACAUGCUUACAUAUGCCGGACGUUACUGGCGAGUCAUCUGCAAUCAGGGACACGCGGUCUGUGUAACGGAAACAAGUACGCUAAGGUCUCGCCUUCAGAACCACCAGACGGGGUCUUCGAUUGCGACACAGCACCCUGUUCUGACAUAUGACACGCAGAAGCAUGGACAGGGUCGCAGUACGCAUGCAGCAUCUAGACAAGAGAUAUCGUAUGUGGCAGUGUGUGUGUAUUUGUGUGUUUUGGCCGAAUGCUAAGGUAACGGGUGAGGAUGCACUGUCAGGAUAUCAGCGUUGCAUGUUGGAAGGCCACGGCGGCAAGGUGAGUUAGGCACUCAGACUCCAUGAAGACACACCGCCAGUACGUAGGCGACUAGGCGUCAGGAGUGCAUGAUACGCGUAUUGAUACGUAGUUCGCAGCUUACCUAGUACGGUACGUCAAAAUACGCUUUCAAUACGCGCUGCCAAACCCACACAUGUCGGGAUGCUUGGAUGUUGCGCACGGGAUUCGAGCCAGUUUCAAGCCGUUCACGCGCUUUCUGAUAUGCAGGUAACAUGGAAAGUCAAUGACGAGGCCACCAGGCGUGACAAUUAGCUAGAACCACUGGUCGUGGAUGCCUAGAAAGUCCAGAGGACAGACUUACGGAGCAGGCGAUUCGACGGGGGCCGGGAAGGGCAGGGCUGACCAAAACCCGGCCCAACGCUCUUACCUGAGCCCUAGCCGGCUAUUCCAAUCAGGUGCAGCAUACUUUCACAUAUCUAUCUUACUCGGUCCAUGUCGUCCAGCAGCUGUGCGCUACGCGGCCAAAGCGCAGUCUCUUACCAGCUUUCCGUGCGUUCGACAGUGGAUUAUAUGCCAUACUUGUUUACAAUCUGCAAUCUAUAGAGGAGAUGGAGGGAACUUGAGAAGCGGAGGCAGCGGCGAAGCUGUGGAGUCCUUGAAAGCAAACAGGUCGCUCUCCAGCGAUGUCGACAUGCAAUAACCUAUUUGGCUUUGAGGAAUACAAUGGCCAGUGCGAAUUCUUCGGGGAGGGUAAGCGAGACAUCCUGUGUUUGGGCUCCAGCAGUCACUUUGCUUGGCUGACGACCAAUCCAACUUGCGUCAACGUGUCUUAUAGGCCCUACAGUUCUUCCUGAAGGGCUAGGUGAGUUGACCGACAGUCUCGUCAUGUGUAUUCAUGUUCCUUGGCGACCAGGCUCUGCGUGUUGCGCUGCCGUGUCGAGGUGGUGGAUUGCUGACGGAGACUUUGGUAAUUAGCGUGGAACGGAUGGGCUCGCUGAUGUCAGGGUGGGGGCUGGUCGUCUCACUCGCAAGCUGGUGUGUUUCGGCAGGAUGGUUCAUCCUUGUCGGCCUCGGCGCGGUCUUCGCUUGCGUGCCCACGGCCCUCAUCUGGUUGGACCGGUGGGUCGGCAAAGGGCAGGUCAGGGACGGCUAGGGUUAAGGCUUGGGUGUGGUGGGGGUAACGGAAGAGGCCACGCGCCACCAGGCGGGAGGGUGCACCAGCCGUGGCGGGGCCACGAUCGUGCAUCGGGACUACUCCACGUCUAUGCGCCUGAGCUCCAAAACCUGUUGCGUGCCAUGCGUACUGUAGGCGGUUCGGAAACUUUGGGGCUGACUCGGAGAGCUUCGCCACCGCCGGCCGCAGCAUCAGAGCCGGCCUGACCGCCUGUGACAUCGUUGCCAAGUGGACGUGGGCCGCCACGCUGCUUCAGUCUACAAACGUAGCAUGGAAGUUUGGCGUAGCAGGGCCCUUCUGGUAUGCAGCAGGUAGGCAUGCAUUGGUGCUGGUGGGGCUUGGUUCCGAGUCCGGGCAUGCAAGGACAGAGGGCGGGUGGGGCGCGAGUGACCGGGUAAUGAGUGCGCAGGAACCUGUGCGGCGGCACGCCGAGUAGUUGACAAUCUGUAUGUUUGUGUCGGGGGCAUAUCGCGUACCAAACCCUGCGGUGCCAGUCUCCUGUGUGACUGUUGCUGCCGCCCCAUCGGGGGCCGCCGCCGCGUUGGGCCGAGCGUGGCGGGGAGGGAUGUGGUGGAGUGCGGGGCGGCGGCUCGGGGUUCGGUUCGCAUUGUGAAGCCCAGGGCCGCGCUCUCAUUCCUUAGACCCCACGCCGCAGCGGGCUCCUCACCCCCACACCCGCCCUGAACCACCCGCCCUGAACCUGUGACGCGACCGGGCCUGACAGGGUUCCCUUGGGCCCGUGACGCCCGCACGUCAACCGUGCCGGUUCUUUAGCGUGCAGUGUCCCAAUGGCCCACACGGCACCAUCACUCCCAAUCGACCAGAGGUCCCGUAACCUAGAUGCCGACGGCAAGGGCCUGCCUCUGAACCCUAUAGGUCACAGAACUGGGCCCUUCCACGGUUCCACCCCCAACAGCCCCGUAACAGCGGUUUGGCUGCCAAGGGUGCUGCAGCACUCCCGCCCACACCGCUCUUGCGCCUACCGCCCCACCCAUCCACAGGCGCCACCGUGCAGGUGCUGCUGUUCGCCAUCCUGGCCGUGGAGAUCAAGCGCAAGGCCCCCACCAUCCACACCUUCCUGGAGAUCAUCCGCUGCCGCUGGGGCACGACCGCCCACGUCGUGUUCACGUGCUAUGGCUUCCUGAC
rnacentral:lncRNA from 1 species